GACAGAGGGGGCAAGCGUUGCUCGGAAUUACUGGGCGUAAAGGGCGCGUAGGCGGGAUGGUAAGUCGGUCGUGAAAUCCCUCGGCUCAACCGAGGAACGUCGAUCGAUACUACUGUUCUUGAGGGUUGCAGAGGAGACUGGAAUUCCCGGUGUAGCGGUGAAAUGUGUAGAGAUCGGGAGGAACACCGGUGGCGAAGGCGGGUCUCUGGGCAAUUCCUGACGCUGAGGCGCGAAAGCGUGGGGAGCAAACGGGAUUAGAUACCCCGGUAGUCCACGCUGUAAACGAUGAGCACUAGGUGUGGGGGGGUUCAGUCCCUUCCGUGCCGCAGCUAACGCAUUAAGUGCUCCGCCUGGGGAGUACGGCCGCAAGGUUGAA
rnacentral:rRNA from 1 species